rnacentral:rRNA from 1 species
CGCUUCUUGUUGUGUUGAUUUGAAGUAUGGCCUGCCCACUGAUGAUAUUGAAGGGCCGCGGUAUUUUGACCGUGCAAAGGUAGCAUAAUCAUUAGUUCUUUAAUUGUGGACUGGUAUGAAUGGCUUGACGAGAUAUUAACUGUCUUUGUUUUUGAUUAUAUUGAAUUUGUUAUUUGGGUAAGAAUACCUAAAUUUUUUUAUGGGACGAGAAGACCCUAUAGAGUUUUAUAUAAUGUAUUUCUUUUUAGUUUGGUUCGUUUUGUGGGGUGCGUUGUAUUUUGUUGGGGUGAUGGGAAGAUAAGUGUAACUCUUCUUUGUGUUUUUCACUUAUUUGUGUUUUUGUGAUCCUUGAUGUUGAUUAUAAGAUUAAAUUACCUUAGG